GACGAACGCUGGCAGCAGGCCUAACACAUGCAAGUCGAGCGGACCUUUCGGGGUCAGCGGCGGACGGGUGAGUAACGCGUGGGAAUAUGCCCUUCUCUACGGAAUAGUCCUGGGAAACUGGGGGUAAUACCGUAUACGCCCUUUGGGGGAAAGAUUUAUCGGGGAAGGAUUAGCCCGCGUUGGAUUAGGUAGUUGGUGGGGUAAUGGCCUACCAAGCCGACGAUCCAUAGCUGGUUUGAGAGGAUGAUCAGCCACACUGGGACUGAGACACGGCCCAGACUCCUACGGGAGGCAGCAGUGGGGAAUCUUAGACAAUGGGGGCAACCCUGAUCUAGCCAUGCCGCGUGAGCGAUGAAGGCCUUAGGGUUGUAAAGCUCUUUCAGCUGGAAAGAUAAUGACGGUACCAGCAGAAGAAGCCCCGGCUAACUCCGUG
rnacentral:rRNA from 1 species